GGGCAGCUAUAAUGCAGUCGAGCGGACAGAUGGGAGCUUGCUCCCUGAUGUUAGCGGCGGACGGGUGAGUAACACGUGGGUAACCUGCCUGUAAGACUGGGAUAACUCCGGGAAACCGGGGCUAAUACCGGAUGGUUGUUUGAACCGCAUGGUUCAAACAUAAAAGGUGGCUUCGGCUACCACUUACAGAUGGACCCGCGGCGCAUUAGCUAGUUGGUGAGGUAACGGCUCACCAAGGCGACGAUGCGUAGCCGACCUGAGAGGGUGAUCGGCCACACUGGGACUGAGACACGGCCCAGACUCCUACGGGAGGCAGCAGUAGGGAAUCUUCCGCAAUGGACGAAAGUCUGACGGAGCAACGCCGCGUGAGUGAUGAAGGUUUUCGGAUCGUAAAGCUCUGUUGUUAGGGAAGAACAAGUACCGUUCGAAUAGGGCGGUACCUUGACGGUACCUAACCAGAAAGCCACGGCUAACUACGUGCCAGCAGCCGCGGUAAUACGUAGGUGGCAAGCGUUGUCCGGAAUUAUUGGGCGUAAAGGGCUCGCAGGCGGUUUCUUAAGUCUGAUGUGAAAGCCCCCGGCUCAACCGGGGAGGGUCAUUGGAAACUGGGGAACUUGAGUGCAGAAGAGGAGAGUGGAAUUCCACGUGUAGCGGUGAAAUGCGUAGAGAUGUGGAGGAACACCAGUGGCGAAGGCGACUCUCUGGUCUGUAACUGACGCUGAGGAGCGAAAGCGUGGGGAGCGAACAGGAUUAGAUACCCUGGUAGUCCACGCCGUAAACGAUGAGUGCUAAGUGUUAGGGGGUUUCCGCCCCUUAGUGCUGCAGCUAACGCAUUAAGCACUCCGCCUGGGGAGUACGGUCGCAAGACUGAAACUCAAAGGAAUUGACGGGGGCCCGCACAAGCGGUGGAGCAUGUGGUUUAAUUCGAAGCAACGCGAAGAACCUUACCAGGUCUUGACAUCCUCUGACAAUCCUAGAGAUAGGACGUCCCCUUCGGGGGCAGAGUGACAGGUGGUGCAUGGUUGUCGUCAGCUCGUGUCGUGAGAUGUUGGGUUAAGUCCCGCAACGAGCGCAACCCUUGAUCUUAGUUGCCAGCAUUCAGUUGGGCACUCUAAGGUGACUGCCGGUGACAAACCGGAGGAAGGUGGGGAUGACGUCAAAUCAUCAUGCCCCUUAUGACCUGGGCUACA
rnacentral:rRNA from 1 species